GUGUAAGAGUUUCAAGCGAGUGACAAAUAAAGCUGCGAGUCUGUUGCAGGAUUUCUAUUUUUGAUUUAACAGUGUUGAUUUUAGAGCUGACAUUCCCUGUAACCUCUUUAUCCCAGUCUUUCAAAGAUUCCCCACAAGCAUUAACUUUUUCAACCAGAGAGAGCAUGGUGACCCCUAGACCACGAAUCAGCAAUAACAACUUGACAAGAGGAUUUUCUUAAUUAUUAAGGUAGCCCGGUAAACUGAUAACAAGUUUUAUGGUCUUCUUCAAUGAGUAGAUCAACAUGGUGAGUUGAAUGAGAGAGUAUGUCUACAACUAAAUCGUCUUUCCACAAUACACAGAGACCUCCAGACCUAUUCUCUUCGUAACAAGAGCAGUCAACCACAAACAGUUUAUGAAAUCCCAGAUUAUCGUCAACGGACACCAUUUCCUUCGCCAAUUUCUUUUGUUUCCAUUAAGAAUAAAAAGGAAUGGAGAUCCUCUGAAGUUUAUUAAUUGCUGCGGGCCUCCUUAACCCACGACAAUAAUAGCUAAUUAGAUUCAUGGCUUCCAGCGGGGUUGCGUUGCAACUACCGCAGAUAGAUCUGCAGAUGUGGCGAUAUUGCACGUUCCUUAUUGGUUGAGCCAGAGACCGUCUUUGCACCCCUGCGAGCUCUUCUCUUCCAUUUAUUUGAUCCCCCACUGCCAAUCUGCUCCAGGAGUGAGAGAAUUAUUCUUUUUUCGUUACCAGCACCACGCUAUCUCACGAAACCAGGGGGAUUUCAGUUUUACAUGACUGAAAGAGUUAAGUGUCUGAGCUUGUGAGCUGGGCUGGAGUUCUUGGAGAUAACCCGAGCCAAUUAUUAGUAGCUGGGUUAGAGAAUGAACUCUGAACUUGGGGUUGUAGCAGAGAAGUAAAA